rnacentral:rRNA from 1 species
AUUGAACGCUGGCGGCAGGCUUAACACAUGCAAGUCGAACGAUGAUUAUCUAGCUUGCUAGAUAUGAUUAGUGGCGGACGGGUGAGUAACAUUUAGGAAUCUGCCUAGUAGUGGGGGGUAGCUCGGGGAAACUCGAAUUAAUACCGCAUACGACCUACGGGUGAAAGGGGGCGCAAGCUCUUGCUAUUAGAUGAGCCUAAAUCAGAUUAGCUAGUUGGUGGGGUAAAGGCCCACCAAGGCGACGAUCUGUAACUGGUCUGAGAGGAUGAUCAGUCACACCGGAACUGAGACACGGUCCGGACUCCUACGGGAGGCAGCAGUGGGGAAUAUUGGACAAUGGGGGCAACCCUGAUCCAGCCAUGCCGCGUGUGUGAAGAAGGCCUUUUGGUUGUAAAGCACUUUAAGCAGGGAGGAGAGGCUAAUGGUUAAUACCCAUUAGAUUAGACGUUACCUGCAGAAUAAGCACCGGCUAACUCUGUGCCAGCAGCCGCGGUAAUACAGAGGGUGCGAGCGUUAAUCGGAAUUACUGGGCGUAAAGCGAGUGUAGGUGGCUCAUUAAGUCACAUGUGAAAUCCCCGGGCUUAACCUGGGAACUGCAUGUGACACUGGUGGUGCUAGAAUAUGUGAGAGGGAAGUAGAAUUCCAGGUGUAGCGGUGAAAUGCGUAGAGAUCUGGAGGAAUACCGAUGGCGAAGGCAGCUUCCUGGCAUAAUAUUGACACUGAGAUUCGAAAGCGUGGGUAGCAAACAGGAUUAGAUACCCUGGUAGUCCACGCCGUAAACGAUGUCUACUAGCCGUUGGGGUCCUUGAGACUUUAGUGGCGCAGUUAACGCGAUAAGUAGACCGCCUGGGGAGUACGGCCGCAAGGUUAAAACUCAAAUGAAUUGACGGGGGCCCGCACAAGCGGUGGAGCAUGUGGUUUAAUUCGAUGCAACGCGAAGAACCUUACCUGGUCUUGACAUAGUGAGAAUCCUGCAGAGAUGCGGGAGUGCCUUCGGGAAUUCACAUACAGGUGCUGCAUGGCUGUCGUCAGCUCGUGUCGUGAGAUGUUGGGUUAAGUCCCGCAACGAGCGCAACCCUUUUCCUUAUUUGCCAGCGGGUUAAGCCGGGAACUUUAAGGAUACUGCCAGUGACAAACUGGAGGAAGGCGGGGACGACGUCAAGUCAUCAUGGCCCUUACGACCAGGGCUACACACGUGCUACAAUGGUAGGUACAGAGGGUUGCUACACAGCGAUGUGAUGCUAAUCUCAAAAAGCCUAUCGUAGUCCGGAUUGGAGUCUGCAACUCGACUCCAUGAAGUCGGAAUCGCUAGUAAUCGCAGAUCAGAAUGCUGCGGUGAAUACGUUCCCGGGCCU